rnacentral:rRNA from 1 species
GACGAACGCUGGCGGCGUGCUUAACACAUGCAAGUCGAACGGUAAGGCUCCAGCUUGCUGGGGUACACGAGUGGCGAACGGGUGAGUAACACGUGGGUGACCUGCCCUGCACUUCGGGAUAAGCCUGGGAAACUGGGUCUAAUACCGGAUAGGACCAUGGUGUGGAUACUGUGGUGGAAAGUUUUUUCGGUGUGGGAUGGGCCCGCGGCCUAUCAGCUUGUUGGUGGGGUAAUGGCCUACCAAGGCGGCGACGGGUAGCCGGCCUGAGAGGGGGGACGGCCACAUUGGGACUGAGACACGGCCCAGACUCCUACGGGAGGCAGCAGUGGGGAAUAGUGCACAAUGGGCGGAAGCCUGAUGCAGCGACGCCGCGUGGGGGAUGACGGCCUUCGGGUUGUAAACUCCUUUCACCAUCGACGAAGGGUUUCUGACGGUAGAUGGAGAAGAAGCACCGGCUAACUACGUG